GACGAACGCUGGCGGCGUGCUUAACACAUGCAAGUCGAACGGAAAGGCCCUGCUUUUGUGGGGUGCUCGAGUGGCGAACGGGUGAGUAACACGUGAGUAACCUGCCCUUGACUUUGGGAUAACUUCAGGAAACUGGGGCUAAUACCGGAUAGGAGCUCCUGCUGCAUGGUGGGGGUUGGAAAGUUUCGGCGGUUGGGGAUGGACUCGCGGCUUAUCAGCUUGUUGGUGGGGUAGUGGCUUACCAAGGCUUUGACGGGUAGCCGGCCUGAGAGGGUGACCGGCCACAUUGGGACUGAGAUACGCCCCAGACUCCUACGGGAGGCAGCAGUGGGGAAUAUUGCACAAUGGGCGGAAGCCUGAUGCAGGAACGCCGCGUGCGGGAUGACGGCCUUCGGGUUGUAAACCGCUUUCGCCUGUGACGAAGCGUGAGUGACGGUAAUGGGUAAAGAAGCACCGGCUAACUACGUG
rnacentral:rRNA from 1 species